GUUAGCGCCUUGGUUAAGCAUUCAAUCAGAUGGGGGGAAAAAACCAAAACACUCAAAAAACAAUGCCUUGAACUGUAACUUGUUUGUUUGACUUUCACUGCACUGGAGCAUGGAAUUAAUUCAAAGACAUCAGGAUGCAUAACAGCUGUGAAAUCCAAAGGAUGAAAACUUUGAUUUUGAAGCAUGCACAACUUCGCCUAAUUGCCUCUAAUCCUCAUCAGGAGUAGUUAGCAUUGUAGAAACAAGGAGAUCUUUCCAUCUCUUUGAGCUUCCAUCUGAGAUCUCUCCAGUCAUUUGAGGAGCCUGGCAGAGCCUUCUGCUAUUCACUGUUGAUAGACAGACUUCCUGCUGGAGAGACAUAAUUAUUUAACCGGAUCCACUCAUCCUGCCACUGAUUUGUUUUACUUUUGUUCUUGGCAACAAGCAGCAACUUCAGUGCAUUUCUCUGCCUGAAGUGGUCUGAGGGAUUCAAUGCCUUGAGCCCUCCGGACUGGUGGCCAGGACCCAGGCAGUGUGAGUGCCACUGAAAAUCAGCUCGUGUGCCACCUUCAGCACACGUGCCAUAGGUUGCCUACCCCUGCCUGAGAAAGAUGGUGUGAUGGCGUGCGAUCCCAGGAAGGGGUGUCAGUCUUCAGAGAAUUCCCAGAGUGACCAGGAGGAGGUGCCAGACAAGUGGUGAGUGGAGCACCCUGUGACAGUGACCAAUCACAGAGGCGGAAAAGUGAAUUCCAACUAUCAGGUAUUCAAAUGAACACUCAUGAUAAACAGUUGAUGAUCAUCUGUCUCAAAUAUGUUUGUAAACACUAUUCAUUAAACAAGUAUGCAUAAUGCUGACAUGAAAUCAUCACCUCUUUGCAGAACAGAAGCAAGGGUCAACUCCAAAGUGUAAAUUGGCAAUUGUAGACAAGCCUGAAGAGUAAUAAAAAGAAUAUUUUCAUCCUAAGCGGAAUUCUCUCUAAUCAUCUGUUCUCCUUCUCUACUUACACAAGCCAUUAUCUGGGGUUGUGUUGGCUACCAGGCUCCCCACACCACAGCAGCAGCCCUGGGAACCCUGGCUGGAGCUGGUUCUCCUGGAGCUGGUAGGCUCCCUGCUGUAGAGCAGCUAAGUGCUAUUGACAUUUUUGAGAGAGACAGGAUAGGUGAGGAAUCUUUUACUGGACUAGUGGUGGUGGAUGGUAUAAGCUUUCAAGCUACACAGCUCGAGGUACACAGUUUGAAAGCUUGUAUCUUCCACCAACAGAAGGAAGUUGGUCCAAUAAAAUAUAACUCACCUACCUCAUCUCUCUCUUAUACUGGGACCAACACAGUGGCAAUAACUUUGCAACCGACAUUCUUGUCAGUUUCACAGUUGCUAAUCACUGAAUAGCAAUUGACAAGAAUGUCAAUUUCCAUUUCAUUUCAGAAACAUUUGAGGAUUCUUAGUUUUGCUGAGAAAUGUUGGUAAAUCCGAAUAGAAUAAAAGCAAUUUCAAAAAUACCCAAACUUUAGCUGGUUCCAACCAGCUCUAUUCUUGAACCGAUUUAAGAAGAGCCAUACUACAGGGUUGCACUGAUUUAGGGAAUCCAGUUUCUGAAUUAGUUAGUUUAGCUGAAACUAAUCAGUGCAACCUGAAAGUGUAGACAAGGCUUGAUGGGGGAGGAAAAGGUAGAGUAGUGUAAAUUGAACAUGGAGUGUCAGCCUUAAGUUUGGGUUUCCUGGUAAUUUUUGGUAUGUGUCACUCUUGUUUACAUUAUUUUUUACUUUUAAAAACAAAUACUCCUCCUAACAACAAGCCCACUGAUACUUUUCAGCUAUCUAUUAUUUUAUUUACAAUACAGCAUCGGUCCUGAGGAUUGUCCUUUAUGACAGCUAAAUGGAAAGACAGAGCUGUCUAUGUAUGCUGAUUGUGGUACUGUAGUAGUAUCUAGUUCAGUACUAUUUGCAUAUUCAUCCAUCCUCCAUGUUAACUACCAACUAAAAGGAUGAGCCAAACAAUAUGUUCAAAAAUAUUUUGAGUUUGAGACAGUGGGUUUUCUAGUACAUGUAGUCUUACCUGUCUGUCUCUUACUGCCUGCUCCUAUUCCCAUGGAGUGAGUGCACAGGAGAGGUCUACAACAGGAUAUCGGGUGUAGAGGAGGGUGUCCUGGAUAUUUGGCUUGUGACUAUGCAAAACCAGUGGUCACAAACCCUUGUGUAAGGAGAUGUCAGGGACCCUGGCUUCAAGGCUGCCAUAUACCACACUAGUGGGUGAUCCUGUCUAUUCACACAGGCUAUAUGUAGAUGCAUUUUUCCCAGCGUGAGUAGGCAACUGAAGCCACAUUUGAACCCCACAGACCUUGUUUUCCAACAUUUUGGUGUAAUUGCUAGACCACACUGCCUCCCUUAACUAAUAUUUGUAAUAAAUUUAUAUGUUACAGUUAAAACAUGGCUAUGUGGUACUGUUGGCUUUCUAACCAUGAGGCUGUGAAAUUAACCUUUGAUCUUUCCCAGCUUAAUCAGGAAAUUGACUUUGGGAGUUAUUCCUCAACUCUGGAUCUGUGGUUAAAGUUAGACAUCACUAAUAGGAAAUCUCGUAUCAGGAAAUGUGUGAAUGCUAAUCCACACAAACAAAAACAAACCUUUGGUUUACAUACAGUUUUACUGGAAUUUUCCUCUACAUUCUAUUUCCUUCAGUAAGUCAGUAAAAAGUACAAGCAGCUUGUUAAAGUCUCUGAAAAGCUCAAGACUUUUUGGGGCCACUUUUACUUCAGGUAUACCAGAUGCCUAUUAUGUACUCACAAGAGCUUUAAAAGUCUGGGAUAGGGUUUUCAAAUACUUGUGUGGGUCAUCUGUAAACAGGUACAUGCAAUUCACCUUGAUUGUAGCUCUAAUUAAUGAUGGUAUUUUCCUUCCAUAUGGACAAAAGUCACUUUCUUCUCAAGGAUCAAAUUUGGUUCCUGGUCCAGGUCAGUUUUCCAAAUCAGUUAAUUAACUUCGAGUUUGUCCAACUCCAUGAUUUAAAAUUGAUCAUAGAAUCCAGAGAGAAAACAGGUUUGGAAUGAAGGCAUAAUUUGGCAGUAUCAUGUUAGAGCUUUUCAUGGAAAAAAAUCAUUCGAAAAACAGUAAAAGGAAUACAUGUCUGGUACAAGCAAUCUAUGAAUAUUUCAAACACACUUAUCAUAGAAUUAUAGGACUGGAAGGGACCUCAAUAGGUCAUCUAGUCCAGUCCCCUGCACUCAAGGUAGGAGUAAG